UAUCAUAGAAGACCGGCACUUUUGGAUGAGGUGUGAACUAAGAUAGAUUUGAGGGCUGGUUAUCACCAAAUAAGAAUGAAAGGAAGAGGAUAUCUACAAAACAGCCUGAAGGACCGGCUUUUUGAAUUCAAGGUGAUGCCCCGGCAACCUUUCAACAACUCAUGAAUAGUGUUUUUAAAGAGAUGUGUUGGAAAGGGGUAUUGGUCUUUUUCGAUGACAGUCUAGUGUACAGUUCUACCAUGGUGGAGCAUCUCAAGUUGCUAGAGGAAGUGUUCCGGCAAAACAAACUUUUUGUGGGUGAGCCAAAUUUCAUAAAGGAAAUACAUUAUUUAUGAAAUUGGGGUAUCUACUAAUACAAACAAGGUAGAGGGCAUGACAGCUUGGCCAGAACCAGCCAAUGUCAGAGAACUCCGAGGGCUGCAGGGGUUAUUACAGGAGGUUUGUACCGGGGUAUGGAGCUAUCAGCAGGCCUUUAACUGAGUUGUUAAAGAAAGGUAUGGAAAAGAAGCCAGAAAAGCAUUUCUCAAGCUCAAAAGUGCUAAGAUAUGGUGAUGCCUUUGAACGUUGCCUGGGAGAGCGGCUCAAAAGAGUUGGGACAGACUAGAAGCUUUGAAGCUUUGAAGUUUAUGUUCUUUAAAAAGAUAAUAGCUUUGAAGUUUAUGUUCUUUAAAAAGAUAAUAGCAAUCUUGACUUAAAAGGGUCAAGAUCCCCGUGAAGGAAUGCUGAUUGAACAUCGAGCUGAUAAAGAGGGAGUGCCAUACCCAAGAUACUCCAUUAAAGGAAAGGUAUGCUUGUCCUGAUUUACAGGAUCUGCUAGAGAUAGAUGCACGCCACGAGAUAACCACCCGCGCGGCCGCCAAAUUCCGAUUGGCUAUGUCGGUAUCAUCAUGCGUCUUGAAACCUGUGGCGGAGCUACAUUCAAAAGCAUGGGCGGGCUAGUGAAGAGAGGCCCAAUUUUCAGAUAAUUAUGACCCGAAUUUACCCUUAGGCUCAGUCUGUUGUAGCAAAAUUGGGCGGGCCAUGGAGCAUUUUGCUUCAACGUAGCUCCACCACUGCUUGAAACCACUUGGCAAGCUUCAAAGUGCAAACAGCAACCUCACUUUAUAUUUUAUUUGCCUUUGUGGGCCAUGAAUUUCAUGACACAAUCUAGAUUUCUACAACAAUUCCAAGCCAGACCAGUUCAGUUAACUAGCAUCUUCUGCAGCUCUGCUGACUAUUGAAAAAAUCCCAGGCGCACAAAUCCAAUGCAGUUGUCGACAUAGUUCAACAUUACAUGUAGGUCGGUAAGGCUAAAAAGAUUGUGCUAAUUAGGGGGUAAUUUUGCCUGAAGACUGACAUGGGGCCAUCGAAGGUCUCAUCUCAUACUGAAUGGAUUCAACCUGUUUCCUCAAAUCCGUGGGCUGCUUGGUCAGUUUUUGGCGCCACAAUCGAUUCAGAUCCUGUGUAAACAAAUUAAAACAGUGGAUUUCUGAAUUGAUAGAUAAAAACAAAAAUAGAGAAAUGUGGAUCUGUCUGUGCUAACUUCAUACUCCCUCCGUCCGGGUUUAUUUCAAAGCAAAAAGCUGCAAAGUAUAUUUAACACCAUCACCGGCAGAUUGCUCCAACCAACUUACUAAACCAAGCUGAUAGCACCAACAAAAUCCCAAACAAAAUGAUCCACUAAGAAAAGCUGCCUCAGUGGUAGUGACAAUCAAAACAGACAAAAGAAAAUACCUAAAAUUUGAAUUGGCUUGGAAAACAGAAAACAUCAGAGAGAUUCCCAUUAUAGACUUGGUCCAUCAUACCAAUUACAUGGUUCUGAUGUCCCUGUCUCGGUGGCAUCACCUGCUUCCAUGGAUUUCCAUCCAAGAUCCGAAUUGACAACUAACAAUGAAAGAACAAAGAAAACAGAGACAACAGAACAAACAAUAUUUCAUAUGAUUUGCCACCCUAUUUAAGAUUAAUAAUGUUUAACAACAAAAGAAUCUAAAAUUCAGCUUAUAUUUUAAGCUAGUAUACCACAGUAAAUGAUAGACCAUCGUAAUAUAAUUAUUAUACCGUAUAAACAUUCCAAAGGUAAGGCCAACCAUUCGUCGACCAGUUUGUGCACCCUACGUUCCAGUGAGUGAAAUAUAUCAAAGGCAAGAAAGAUCAGAUGCAACAAAAACAACAAAAUAAACUAGGGAAAUCAUCAUGGCUCAGACAUCCAAGGAAGGAAUUAGCAGCAUUAGCUCUCAAGCCUGGCAGGGCGAAAGCUCUUAGGCGGCAUCUGCGAAUGUUUAGAGAAACAAGCCUUAGUUCUAUCAUCAUCGCCAUUGAUUUCCCAGUAAAACUACACAAAAUAUUACAGGGAGGCAAUAGGUGUAAUCACAAAAAACGGCUCUGUGUACCGACUGAAUCACAGCCACAGGUUCCUAUCAAAUGUGAAAAUCUUUGUUGGCACAAUGUAGCAUCUCCGGUCAAGGCUUGUGGCUACCUGAGACGUGGCAUCGGGCCCAAGAAAACAGGAAAAAAGAAAGGUUGCAAGAGAACAGGCAUCAUUGCUUAGUCCCUCAGAGACCCGUUUCAAAUCACACACACAGCUGAAUCAAGCCAGUGCAAAUGGUAUUCCAUCCCAGAGCAAACCACAGAGGUUAUGAUACAGAGAUGGACACUUGCAGAAGCAGAGAAGCGGCUGCUGUUUACAGUGUCAUACGGCACUUCCUGGUCUAGUGCUCUUCACAGGGACAAGAUGUAGUACAAAAAGGAAAGAAUGACACAACUUCAAGCAAUGUUCAGUGGAAAGAUAAGUCGUUUUUCGGUUUGGGGGCUCGCGGUGACAAAUGCCACCACUGCCAAAAACCUAUAUGAAUCAUCAUCGCAUCACAAAAACAGAGGAAACAGAAAUGAAAUUAACAGAAGAUGAUGGAAGGUAAAGGCUUCAGUCUGAAACAACAUGAAUCGAUCAAUGGCGGACGAAUCCGCCUCAGCUAAGAUCCUUUCGGACCUGAAUGAUCACCAGCCAACAAUUACAUGUAUAAUUAUUCAUGGAAAUAUAAUUACAUGUUACAUGUAUUUGAUAUUGUAGAGUUUAAUAGUGUAUAUACAUGGUCAAACUUAAAACAACUACUGUGCAUACAAUUUGAGUGCAGAAUCACUAAGCGUACAAUUUGAGUGCAGAAUCACUAAGCGUACAAUUCGAGUAUCCAAACCUGAAUGGAUGCAAACCCAAAUAAACUGAUUUACCCACUUUUAAGUAAACUAGAUUCCAUCGGUCCAUCAUUUCGUACAGAUUCGAGGUUCGCCCCUGAGAAUUUCAAGAAGAAAGCAAUCCAUACCAAGUAAUGAAAAACGAAGGAGCCUGCAAAACAAGUUGCAGUUUAUGAAUUUAGUCAAUUUUAAGUAAUUUUUAUGCUCGAUGAAUCAUUCUGUAGAUCAAAUCAAGAGAUCAAAAACUAUUAUCAACUGUAGCGAAGAAACAAAAUCAAGUGAAUAGGAUUACACAUGCGCAUAGUAUAAUCAUACUCGAUCAUUUGGGGAAAGGAUCCUCAAUUCCAUUAAGAGAAAAUUUAGUUUGGGGGAAAUAAUAAUAAGAAAGUGGAUGGAUCAGAUUUCUGGCUUGGAAUCCUGAUGGGAUUACAUUUGCGCAUAGUAUAAUCAUAGUCGAUCAUUUGGGGAAAGGAUCCUCACACCCAUCCAAAUUUCAAACGAACAGGAAUACAAU